GAAGCAGGAGCAGGAGGUUCGGGAGGAUCCGGACUUAAACAUGUUUACUGAAGACAUUUUUAGUACUGAAAGUGGAAAGGACAAUUUGAAAACACCGAUUUCCCCUAAGGCUUCGCCCCCCGUGCAUGGCAGCAAGUGCAAACUAUGCGGCAAAAUGAUUGGCAGGUUGAGCACCUUGGGAAACCACGUAAUGAACCAACAUUACACAGCAAUAAGAGG